GAUUCUCCCACUUCCACCUCCUGAGUAGCUGGGAUUACAGGCUCUUGCUGCCACACCCGGCUAAUUUUUUUGUAUUUUAGUAAAGAUGGGGUUUCAUCAUGUUGCCCAGGGUGGUUUUGAACUGAGCUCAGCCAAUCCACCUGCCUUGGCCUCCCAAAGUGCUGGGAUUACAGGCAAGAGCCACCGCGCCCGACCAAUAUAGGGAGAUCUUGUCUCUACCAUUUUUUUUUUUUUUAAUUAGCUGGGCAUGGUAGUGCAUGGCUGUGGUCUCAGCCACUUAGGAGGCUGAGGUGGGAGGAUCAUUUGACCCAGGAGUUUGAGGUUGCAGUCAGACGAGAUCACGUCACGGCACUCCAGCCUGGGCAACAGAGGGAUACCUUUUCUCUAAAAAAACUAGAAGAAAGAACUGGUUGCUGUAGCAGUGGCUGCCAUAAGAAAAAGACCCUGAUCAAUGCCCCAGUCAUAACCAGCAUGAGCUCUCCUCCUCAUCCUGCAACUCAGGAAGUCCACAGUGAGUCAGUCUAACCUGAGGUGAAAAGAGACAACUGAACGUUUCAUGAGCCUUAAGACUUGGAGGGCAAUGAUGGAAAGUAUGGACAGGGGCCGGGUGCAGUGGCUCACACCUGUAAUCCCAGCACUUUGGGAGGCUGAGG
rnacentral:lncRNA from 10 species